GCCAGUUAGCUAGCCAACCACUUGGAUUAACACCACAACAUAAAUAACCCCUC
rnacentral:rRNA from 1 species